GCAAAUAAAGGAAAGCAAAUUAUGUUCUGAAUUAAACUUUUCUUGCUUCAGCGAGGCUGAGUCACCUUUGACGUUCCAUUUUUUGAACAGAGCCGGCCGCACAUCUAGAGUUAUUUUCAAAGAUGUCACGUACAAACCUGCAAACUUUAGGAUGUUCCGCUUCAGGCAAGCCAUCUACAGGAAGGCCUCAACGAUGUCCUCGUCUGGAGAUGAGGAUAACAACAGCAUUCUUCCUCCUGGCUUGUUAUGAGGAUUACCCUGCUAUACGGAAAUAUCGGAUGCUGGAUGGCUUCUGAACAACAGAAUUUAUUGAUCGCAGUUUGAAGAUGGAGAAGCACAGAUCAAAGCCAGGCAGAUUUGGUAUCUGGGCAUUUUUGGAUGAAAUUAACAUUUAAUCAGUGAACUGUGAGUAACGCAGAUUGCCCUCCGUAAUGUGGGUGUGCCUCAUCCAAUCACUGAAGAUCUGAAUAGAACGAAAAGACUGGCCUCCCUGUUCCAAAAGGAAUUCUUGAGCAGACUGUCUUGGGAUUUCAUCUGCACCUGUAUCUCCCAGGUCUCCAGCCUGCCAGCUCACACCACAAAUUCAGAUGUGCCAGCCUCCAUAACUAUCAUUCAUUGUGCUCUUUGGAAAUGACAAAUACAUGUUCCUGGACCCCCCGAAAAGCAUACACUGCAGGGGAAGAAUCAUCGUGCAAACAGAUCAGUUACAAAUACACUCUGGCUGCCAUCGCCAUUCCAAGCAUCACGUUCAGGCAGGAUGUCCAGAGGCAGAGGGCUGUAAAAGAAGCCAGGUAGCUGGAAAGACAAUGAGAAGCUCCUGAGGUGCAGCUUCCCAGAACGGAAGGAGGAAUUCAGGUGGUGAUGCAUAAAGGACAAUAUUGGCCAGUGAUAGAAAUGGAAGAUACCAGAGCUCACGCUAAAUCCAGCCAUCCUGAAGACAGGCUAGGGCAUGAUGCAUUCCUCUAGCAGAAUGGUGGUGUCUAUCAGUCAAGGGAUUUGUAAUCAGAUCUGUGAUCAGACAGGUA